GCAAAUUCCCCAAUGAUAUGGUUUCAGAUAUAGUUAUGCAGUCUCCUGUUUGAUAGUUCUAACCGCGUACGUACACGCAGUACUCAACCACGUUGCGCGUUAUGCAACACGAAGCUGAGCUACAGCCAGAUUGACCAUCUGUUUCCUACCACCAAGCUCUAUUUGUUGUUUUUUGUGUGUUUCAGUUGUAAUCUUCCGGUUGGAUUCCGUCCAACCUUCUUGAAAAAAAAAAAUAGCUCGCUGCAGCUGUUUCGUCAAAAAAAAAAUCCUACGAUGAAACCCGGUUCAGCCAUCGCAUCACCAACCAUUUUCCCGAAUGCUUUCUUUAAAUACUCGAUGUGUUCGCCUCGAUCGACCUCGACUUGUUCCCACUCCGGUCUCAAUUAUGAGGGGCAUGCCAUCACCGCAUCACGCAGCGCUCUGCAGGCAUAUAAAACUCCGUUGUUUGACAAAAGCUUAACAACUCGAUUAGGUUAAUCAUCUUAGUUAAGUGCCGUUCUGCAAUCUGGUUCAUGUCUUGAUUUAAGGACGCGGAAACAGCUGCUGUUCGUAAUAGGAAAGGAGACUGCAAAAGAUUCUCUGCGCGCGUCUUAUUCCUACAUGUCUCCCUGGGAAGUUCACACCGCAAUCUGUGGUGAUUUGGCUCAACUGCUCGAGACAGAGUGAUGGACGAUGCUGGCCGGGACAACGGUCCCCUGACUUGAAUCGUACAUGCAUGGCCGUGUUUCGUCUGCAUGGCAUACACAGUAAAUUGCAUCCGAGGUUGGCACACGGCAACAAUUUAGUCCAAUAUCUUGCAAAACAAUCAUCGCUUGCAGGCAUGCUUUAGGUCCAAAUGACAAAUCCGGCCAUACUCGCAAUGACGUGGCCUUACAUGUAGCCUUCGUGAUUCAUUUCGAGGGGGUUAUAGAAAGUUUGCUUUUAUAGAUCUCUCCGAGCCACCAAUUCCCCGUU
rnacentral:lncRNA from 1 species